CAGAUGAUGCUAAAAGAAGAUAGAUUCAAUGGUGUGGUACAACUAUGGAGUCGCUGAAGCCCUCUAAGACUGUGGACCAGUGAGAUGCGAGCAAGAGCCAUAAUCAUGGACAACACAAGCCAGACAACGGUCAGGGCCACCGUGUGCUCAGCACUGGCUGAUGGAGGGCUGGCUCCCUCCGCUCUGGACGUUAGCAGCAAUUAUAAACUCGCGAACAGGAAUUAUCUGUGUUUAAUCCAGUCACCUGGGAUGCUGAUGAGAACCCAUGCUCUAAGAAUCGGAGGGGCGGUUCACUCUCAUUAAGUAAAACAACGCCUU